rnacentral:rRNA from 1 species
AUGGCCGCGACGUCGUCAGCCUCGUGCGCCGGAGCCUCCCCGAGCUUCUCGGUGACGAUCAGGAGCUUCACCGCCGUCAUUUGCUUCGUCUACAUGCGUCGAAUCGAGAAGGGCGGCCUCGUACGCUCGUCACAGCCGUCAUCUGCUCCGCCACAGUCGUCGACCCCGUCGUCGAUUCGCGCAUCUCCGGUUCAUCCCCGACCACCUCGAGCUCGCCUAAAGAACCAAAACCCCGAGACCGAUGUUGCCCCUGUGAUCGACUACGUCGACGAUGACCCCUCCUUGCCAGAGCAACCAGAUGACGGAUCCCAGGCGCCAGACGACACCACUGAUGACUACUGCUAUCCCGAGGAUGCCUACUACUACGUGACGACCGCUGACGACUUGGAGUAG